rnacentral:rRNA from 1 species
UACGUAGGGUGCGAGCGUUGUCCGGAUUUAUUGGGCGGAAAGAGCUCGUAGGCGGUUUGUCGCGUCGGCCGUGAAAUCUCCACGCUUAACGUGGAGCGUGCGGUCGAUACGGGCAGACUUGAGUUCGGUAGGGGAGACUGGAAUUCCUGGUGUAGCGGUGAAAUGCGCAGAUAUCAGGAGGAACACCGAUGGCGAAGGCAGGUCUCUGGGCAUUAACUGACGCUGAGGAGCGAAAGCAUGGGGAGCGAACAGG